GAUGAACGCUAGCUAUAGGCUUAACACAUGCAAGUCGAGGGGAAACGAUAGAGAAAGCUUGCUUUUUCUAGGCGUCGACCGGCGCACGGGUGAGUAACGCGUAUCCAACCUGCCCACCACUUGGGGAUAACCUUGCGAAAGUAAGACUAAUACCCAAUGAUAUCUCUAGAAGACAUCUGAAAGAGAUUAAAGAUUUAUCGGUGAUGGAUGGGGAUGCGUCUGAUUAGCUUGUUGGCGGGGUAACGGCCCACAAAGGCGACGAUCAGUAGGGGUUCUGAGAGGAAGGUCCCCCACAUUGGAACUGAGACACGGUCCAAACUCCUACGGGAGGCAGCAGUGAGGAAUAUUGGUCAAUGGGCGAGAGCCUGAACCAGCCAAGUAGCGUGCAGGAUGACGGCCCUAUGGGUUGUAAACUGCUUUUAUAAGGGAAUAAAGUGAGUCUCGUGAGACUUUUUGCAUGUACCUUAUGAAUAAGGACCGGCUAAUUCCGUGCCAGCAGCCGCCGUAA
rnacentral:rRNA from 1 species